rnacentral:rRNA from 1 species
CCUACGGGAGGCAGCAGUGAGGAAUAUUGGUCAAUGGGCGCGAGCCUGAACCAGCCACGUAGCGUGAGGGAUGACUGCCCUCCGGGUUGUAAACUUCUUUUAUAAAGGAAUACGGUGACGCACGUGUGCCUUUUUGUAUGUACUUUAUGAAUAAGGAUCGGCUAACUCAGUGCCAGCAGCCGCGGUAAUACGGAGGAUCCGAGCGUUAUCCGGAUUGAUUGGGUUUAAAGGGAGCGUAGAUGGGUUGUUAAGUCAGUUGUGAAAGUUUGCGGCUCAACGGUAAAAUUGCAAUUGAUACUGGCAGCCUUGAGUACAGUUGAGGUAGGCGGAAUUCGUGGUGUAGCGGUGAAAUGCUUAGAUAUCACGAAGAACUCCGAUUGCGAAGGCAGCUUACUAAACUGCCACUGACAUUGAUGCUCGAAAGUGUGGGUAGCAAACAGGAUUAGAUACCCGGGUAGUC